UGCGUUCAUUUCCUUAGAAAUUAGAUAAAAUAUAAAAAUAUGAUUUUUUAAAAAAUAGAGAUAUAAAAAUAACCCUGUCAAGAAGAGCGGGCUAGUACAUCAAAUACUUAAAUAAUGCAAGUAACUAGCUUGUCAUGAUCUAACACCACUUUGUCAGCUCUGCAACAUGAAAACACAUCCAUAGGACUGUCACAGUUUGCACUGACACUACUUAAAUCUAUUACUCAAUUACAACUAGUAAAGCAGGCAAAGAGACAAAGCAAUCUGCUGUCAGCAUAAAGCUUUUGCUACUUAAGAGUAUGAUUUUCAUCACUUCUUCCUAAUCAUUAAGGCAAAUUCCAGCAAAACUUUUAAAGCAUUCUACAUCUUAAACCUCAUCUGGAGCAACAACUUUUUACCAGAUCUCUCUAACUUAAGGAGACUGCAAGAUAUACAUAGAAUAGGGAAAAAAAGAAAAUAAACUCAAAUUUAUGCCUUCUCUGAAAAACUGACCUUUCGGAUUUCUCUGCAAUUCGUCAUCUCUAUACAGAGGUGUAAAUAAAACCCAGCAUUUUUUAGCCACUUGUCAUUUUGUGCUGGUGAAAACAGUAAUAAAGUAGCAAGCUAUGUAAGCAUAAAAAAAAAUGAAGAUUUUCAAAGUAAUGUAUCAGGAUUUACAAAUAUAAUCCAAAUAAAACCCAGAAGUUACAGAAUCUAGUAUACCUCAUGCUUCUUUUCUGCUUUUGUGAGCACAUAUUUAAGCUAUUUAAUAGCAAUUUAAGGACUAUGAAGCACAAAAUCUGUCUCCUCAUAAUGAAGUACAAUAUUUAUAGAUUUAAACAGAUAUCUAUUCCAGAAUCCUCGCACUGACAAUCUUCAUUCUGUGAAAGCAAUAAAGAGACUUGUCUUCAUUUGCUUCUUUCACACCCACAGCUCUGCAAACACCAUAUUGCUUUCACUUGCAUUAACAAGCCUCUGCAUUGCCAUUCCGCCCUUCUGUGUUUCAACCAAAAGUAACAACACAAUCUUUUCCAAACACUUCUGUGUUAUUUCUGUGCUAGAGGUCAUGGAACACCCUUUUCCCACCCCAAUAAAUCUUUCAAAUUACGCUUCUUCAAGAUGCAUUUUUAUCAGCUACCCCUGACAGGUAAGAGAACACCCCUAAGCUAUGAAUUUUGCUUAAGGUUAUGAAAACACCAGAUUUCUUCUGGCCUCAGAGCACACACCCUUUGCAGUACUCCACGAGAGCUGCAGAUCAGGUCUCCAGAUCAGGUGCAAUAAGGAAGCAUUUGCUGACCAUCUACUGCAGGAACCUUCGAGAAGAGCUUGCUCAGGGAAAGCAUACACUACCAAUGAAUUUGCAGCAUCUGUGCUAGUUGCAAGGAACAGUCCAUUCCUGGAGAACAAGGCAGGACCCGCCUCCGAGAAACCUAUCAGGGAGGCAAAGAGAACUGCAGCACUGUCAUCAGGUGAGACCCAGUAAAGGUAAGAGCACAAAGACAGUGAACUUCAAAUCCAGCAACCUGUACAUACAGUGACAGAAGAGAGUGGAGCUUAUGUUGUCACUUCCACUGCUUGUCAAUGCUCUUUUUGUGUUUGUUUGUUUUUCCUCCAUUCAACUGCUGCAGAGAUUUUCCUAGAAAAGUACCAACUCCAGAAACACAACUUUUCUGUUAAAUCCCUGCUAAAAUCUCACCACAAGCAUUAAUUAUGCUAAUUAGAACCGCUGCAAGUGGAGAACAAACAUCACAUGCAGCUUAUCUCAAAGCAUCGGGUGAGCUCUUCAUUCAGUUUCAUAGAAAUGGGCUAUUACACGUGAAUAUUUUUCCAUCUACCCUUCCUAGCCAUUCACUCCAGUAUUCCUCAGAACACAGGCACCAGAUAAAAUAUUUGGUCACGGCUCUCUUGAGAAAGUUUGAGCGCUUAACUGCACAGCAGAUGGAAUCACAAUUACUACCAGGUGUAAUUUUCCAUGCUUUACUACUUUAACUUAGAUUAUUUGUAUUCAUAGUGAUUUCAAAACAAGAAAGACCUGCUGAAGUCAACUGAAGCCUCUAUACUGCUUCUAUAUUCAUCUGCCUCUAUAUUCAUCUUGCAGAGCCAAGAGGAGGUGACUGUUAUGCACCACACUAUGGGUAAUCUCAGAGCAAAGGCAUGCAGCCACUGACCGUGUUGGUUAUAACGCAGUCUAUCACCUGUCCUUUUGGGGCAAAAGCCCUGAAAGCUUCGCAAUUUCCAACAUCUUCUACUGGGGAAUGGAAAGCUAAAAACAAGGACCCUGACAGAUGGCAUCUGGAGACAGAACAGCCAGCCUUAUGGUUUUAAAACUCUACUGUUUAAGGCAAAGAAAUAGAAGACCAAACAAGACUGGAAACUGGAGAAAAAAUCCCAAGCUAGUAUUUAGAAAACCUGCAACAAAAUGUAUCAACAUUUUCUUGUGAUUCACUGGAAGACACAACUCAUCUAAAAGAAUAUGCAACUGUUUCAUAUGAAAGAUGGUUGCUCAUUUGAUCUUUCAGCAAGAAUUCUAUCCAUUAUAAGGUAAUAUGGAGCAUCCCCUCCUGAUGGCCAACUGAAACUCGUAACAGCAUCUGUCUCAAAUUUAAUGAAUACAACACACUUGGCUAGUACCAAAAACUAACACUGCAGUACAAUUCAAUACGGCUACCGCAGAGGAGGAAUCCAUGCUUUUUGGAAUAAUUUUUUAGCUAUUAAAUCUUAAUAUAAGGAAGUCAUAUUUAUUAUUUUUCUUAGAUAAGGAAGCAUGGUUUAGAUGACUUUAAAGUUUAUUACUACUACGGUUGGCUGCAGAAAUGAGAACCGAUUUGCAAAAACUCAGUCCUUUACAACUCCAGCUACCCCCAUUCAUGAAAAAUUAGGUAUGACAUUUGGGUGCCAAAUAUUAACUAAUUAUAAAAGAUUGUGGUAUGAGAAAAAUCACUGUCAUCCCUUGCCAUCAAUAUAAAAUGGCUAAUUUCGCCACGGUAUAAACCUCCAAAUUACCCAAAACUUUAUUACAAGUCCUCAGGAUAGAAUGAAUGCAAUUCAUUUAAUUAUCCUGAUUUAAAGGAAAGAUGAACUUUCAUGAUGUGAUUAUAAAACCAACAGACCUCAUGAGAAUCAACAAGUUUGAAUCAGUAUUUUCAGUCUGUGGCACUGCAACACUUCAUUAGAAUGCAAAACCACAGGCUUGCAUCCAUUCACUUAGCCAGAAAAGAAAACAGUUAAGCUGGCAUUUUUCAGUUCAUCAUUCCAAGACACUUAGUACAGUGGGUAAGAAAUGAAAUUACAUUAUACCGGUCAUUAUCUAUGCCUAAAAUGUUUUUAUUUGUCAUACUCCAACAUUACUAAAAUCCCUUUCAGCCUUUGAAAGCCUUGAUGUCCUACAUAGUUCUCUUCAGUACCAUCACCACUAAAUGAUCACAGUGCAACUGUACUGCCAUCAGCUUUGCAAUGUAAAUGUGUGUGCUGGAACAUCACGGUCUUCACAUCUAAAUAAACAUUACAGAGAUCAGAGUUUUUUGUUGCCUUUUUGAACCAAGGGAGGGAUGGGGAACCCAACAACCCAACUUCAUGCUCAGAUGUCAAGUUUGUAGUGGUAUAUGAAUUCCACAAAUUAAAGGAAUUUGGGUUGGUUACAAUUCCCUGUGCAAGCAUAUAAUUAAUAAAAUGGGAAUAAACCUUGCUGUACAAUUUGUGCCAGCACUUGCUCUAAUUUCCCAGGCAGCUACAGCCUCAUUACCU